AGAGUUUGAUCCUGGCUCAGGAUGAACGCUAGCUACAGGCUUAACACAUGCAAGUCGAGGGGCAUCAGGGAUUAGCAAUAAUCCGCUGGCGACCGGCGCACGGGUGAGUAACACGUAUUCAACCUUCCGAUAACUCGGGGAUAGCCUUUCGAAAGAAAGAUUAAUACUCGAUAGUAUAUUUUCUUCGCAUGUUGAAAAUAUUAAAGAAUUUCGGUUAUCGAUGGGAAUGCGUUCCAUUAGGCAGUUGGCGGGGUAACGGCCCACCAAACCUACGAUGGAUAGGGGUUCUGAGAGGAAGGUCCCCCACAUUGGAACUGAGACACGGUCCAAACUCCUACGGGAGGCAGCAGUGAGGAAUAUUGGUCAAUGGGCGGGAGCCUGAACCAGCCAAGUAGCGUGAAGGACGACGGCCCUACGGGUUGUAAACUUCUUUUAUAAGGGAAUAAAGUUCGCCACGUGUGGUGUUUUGUAUGUACCUUAUGAAUAAGCAUCGGCUAAUUCCGUGCCAGCAGCCGCGGUAAUACAGAAGAUGCGAGCGUCAUCCGGAUUUAUUGGGUUUAAAGCGAGCGCAGGCGGUUCUUAAGUCUGAUGUGAAAGCCCACGGCUCAACCGUGGAAGGUCAUUGGAAACUGGGGAACUUGAGUGCAGAAGAGGAGAGUGGAAUUCCAUGUGUAGCGGUGAAAUGCGUAGAUAUAUGGAGGAACACCAGUGGCGAAGGCGACUCUCUGGUCUGUAACUGACGCUGAGGCUCGAAAGCGUGGGGAGCAAACAGGAUUAGAUACCCUGUAGUCCACGCCGUAAACGAUGAGUGCUAAGUGUUGGAGGGUUUCCACCCUUCAGUGCUGCAGCUAACGCAUUAAGCACUCCGCCUGGGGAGUACGGCCGCAAGGCUGAACUCAAGGAAUUGACGGGGACCCGCACAAGCGGUGGAGCAUGUGGUUUAUUCGAGCACGCGAGACCUUACCAGGUCUUGACAUCCUUUGACAUCCUAGGGAUAGGACUUUCCCUUCGGGACAAGUGACAGGUGGUGCAUGGUUGUCGUCAGCUCGUGUCGUGAGAUGUUGGGUUAAGUCCCGCAACGAGCGCAACCCCUAUUGUUAGUUGCCAGCAUUCAGUUGGGCACUCUAAUGAGACUGCCGGUGACAAACCGGAGGAAGGUGGGGAUGACGUCAAAUCAUCAUGCCCCUUAUGACCUGGGCUACACACGUGCUACAAUGGAUGGUACAACGAGCAGCAAGACCGCGAGGUCAAGCGAAUCUCUUAAAGCCAUUCUCAGUUCGGAUUGCAGGCUGCAACUCGCCUGCAUGAAGCCGGAAUCGCUAGUAAUCGCGGAUCAGCACGCCGCGGUGAAUACGUUCCCGGGUCUUGUACACACCGCCCGUCACACCACGAGAGUUUGUAACACCCGAAGUCGGUGAGGUAACCUUUAUGGAGCCAGCCGCCUAAGGUGGGACAGAUGAUUGGGGUGAAGUCGUAACAAGGUAACC
rnacentral:rRNA from 1 species